GGCUCAGAACGAACGGCUGGCGGCGUGCUUAACACAUGCAAGUCGAACGCGAAAGGGACUUCGGUCCUGAGUAAAGUGGCGCACGGGUGAGUAACGCGUAGAUAACCUGUCUUCAUGUCUGGAAUAAUACGCCGAAAGGGGUACUAAUACCGGAUAUUCUUGCUUUUCAUAAGUUAUGCAAGCAAAGGUGGCCUCUGCAUAUGCUACUGCAUGAAGAGGGGUCUGCGUACCAUUAGCUAGUAGGUGGGGUAAUGGCCUACCUAGGCGACGAUGGUUAGCGGGUCUGAGAGGAUGAUCCGCCACACUGGCACUGGAACACGGGCCAGACUCCUACGGGAGGCAGCAGUGAGGAAUAUUGCGCAAUGGGGGAAACCCUGACGCAGCGACGCCGCGUGAGUGAGGAAGGCCUUCGGGUCGUAAAGCUCUGUCAAGAGGAAAGAAGUGUACAAUGGCUAAUACCUGUUGUAUUUGACGGUACCUCUAAAGGAAGCACCGGCUAACUCCGUGCCAGCCGCGGC
rnacentral:rRNA from 1 species